AACGAACGCUGGCGGCAGGCUUAACACAUGCAAGUCGAACGCAUCCUUCGGGAUGAGUGGCAGACGGGUGAGUAACGCGUGGGAAUCUACCCAUCCCUACGGGAUAGCUCCGGGAAACUGGAAUUAAUACCGUAUACGUCCUUCGGGAGAAAGAUUUAUCGGGGAUGGAUGAGCCCGCGUUGGAUUUGCUAGUUGGGGGGGUAAAGGCCUACCAAGGCGACGAUCAAUAGCUGGUCUAAGAGGAUGAUCAGCCACAUUGGGACUGAGACACGGCCCAAACUCCUACGGGAGGCAGCAGUGGGGAAUAUUGGACAAUGGGCGCAAGCCUGAUCCAGCCAUGCCGCGUGAGUGAUGAAGGCCCUAGGGUUGUAAAGCUCUUUCAGUGGGGACGAUAAUGAUGGUACCCACAGAAGAAGCCCCGGCUAACUUCGUGCCAGCCGCCGCGGUAACAC
rnacentral:rRNA from 1 species